AUGAUCUAAAACAGUUUGCAAAACGUAGACAAGCAAUAUGUGUAUCUUAAGGCACGAAUAUGUCGUUCCUAUUCAUCGUUUAUCAUUUAUAAUAAGGAAAGUUUAUACAACAGAGGAAGGAGAGCUGUUUGUACAGUCAAGAUUAUUUUACGACAAGUGGACAUGAACGCAGUCUUCUCAUUCGUCAUCUAUCAUUGAAAAAUAGAUUUCUGUCCAUCGUUAGACCACAUAUUCCACGCACGUUCUAUUCUCGCAUACAGUUUCCAUAUUUCUUUCCUCGACUCGACAGACAACGGACACUAUUUGUCGCCAGAAACACGAUCGAAACAGAUCGUUUGACUUCCAGUGCUCCAAGCAGGUAACUUGCUCUCUGUCGUGUAUCAUCGUCGUGGAAGAGAAAUUCACGGUAGAAACCAUCGGGGAUCGCGAAAGGCGACGGUCGUUAAUUUGUCUGCGAGUCGUUUCUAACGAAGUGUGUAAAAAGUGAAGGGCGUGCGUUUUCUCGCGAGCCCACGCGCGAGUAUAUAUCGCGUCGCCCCACGUAAUUCGUUCCUAAUCAAUUAGAACGGGAUCCCGGCGUUGAUUGGCUUGGUCUCCUUGUAGGAGUGAAGGCGAUAAAUCUGUCACGAUAAAUUGCGACGGCUGCCCUAGCCGUGGGUCAAGUAGUCACGAUUCAAACUGUGCCGGUGAACGAUCGGGCGAAAAUAAAACAGAUGUGUUACAAUAGAGAGGGAACGGCUCUUGACACCCUGGCGGGUGGACCUUUUGUAGUAUUGGUCAAUUUCGAGCGUAGUUUUCUUCGAUCCCCGCUGGACCAUUUUAAUUGUAUCUGUUUAGGUUGGUAUCCUUAAGCAUCAUAAUGUUUCUGCUUCCUAUACGUCACGGUAGUCCGAUGUUCAUUCUUCACUUUAUUAAUUUUCUGUUUUUUUUUUCAAUGGAAUUAUGCAAUCUGUUUACGUUGCAUUGCAGUUUUAAAACUGGAGGAAAAUACGAAUCCUACGUCCGGUAUUAACGACAUUCAGGGUCACUCUGUAAAUAACUGCAAUAAUUGCUGCACGCUGUCGUGCUCGAAUCAUGCUUCUUACUCUUGGUCAUGGUUUUAGAGGACGUUAUGUGAUAAAGGAUGAUGAAGCAUUAUCCCCAAUCUCGUCCAUUUAAAUAAAUAGAAUAAAUGAGUUUAUGGAUUAUGGUGAAUUAAAUAAAUGAAUUGUAGUGGGUUGAAAAUAAAAAAUGAGCGGUGAAUCUGGUGAUCGGUUCGGAAGCGAUUUUCAGUGAUCCGUUGCCGGUACACGCGCCGGUAAUCGUCGGCUUCCUGCGAGCAGGCCAACCACUAAUUUAAACAUGCGUAGGACUCGGUGUAUUCGUGUACGUGUGCCUACGCGAGUGGAGAACGUUGCACCUGGAAGAAACGAGACGAGGUACAAACUGCUUGCGUUCGACCCUAGACAUUCUCUUCUGUACGCAUUUCUUCUACAGCCUCGACAACGGUAACGAAUAAUUAAGGGGCAAAAUUCUAAAAUUAUUCUAAAAUUAUUUAACCAUUUCAUUGGAUACGUGGAUGCUAACGUUGCCGUACUUAAUGGCUUCUUCUGACUCGGAGUCAUCAUACGCGUAUACGGACAGUGACCAUUGAAUCAUUCAAUUAUUCCCGACUAUAUUAGGUAUGCCUAUCGCGGCGCGCUGGGAAGCGUUAGAUUUUUAAAAGUGGGAUUCCUAAUGCCAUGCAUCGGGAAGCUAUUCCGGAUAAUCGAUCGUACCGUUACGGGACGUCAUUAUUAAAUAAUGAUUCGAUUCACUCCGUUAUCGAAAAUAGAGAGCGGGAGAACGACUCAAUUAAACC